rnacentral:rRNA from 1 species
AGACAGCAGCAGCCACGGUAAUACGGAGGGUGCAAGCGUUAUCCGGAUUUAUUGGGUUUAAAGGGUCCGUAGGCGGAUCUGUAAGUCAGUGGUGAAAUCUCACAGCUUAACUGUGAAACUGCCAUUGAUACUGCAGGUCUUGAGUAAAUUUGAAGUGGCUGGAAUAAGUAGUGUAGCGGUGAAAUGCAUAGAUAUUACUUAGAACACCAAUUGCGAAGGCAGGUCACUAAGAUUUAACUGACGCUGAUGGACGAAAGCGUGGGGAGCGAACAGGAUUAGAGACCCCUGUAGUCCCUGUCUCUUAUAC